UCGUUUGUGCAUUGAAAUUUAAAACUCACAAAACGGAGACGCUGUGCUUUUAUGGCGUGCAAGUAGUCGGUAAAUCUAAGCUUGGAAAUAUGACUCAAAAAUGUGGGCUUAUAUGCACUUGUCUGGUCUCGCUCGUUCUGGUAACUGACGCCGCCAUAAAUCAAAGGCGCAAUUGCAACAAUGAACGUUGCAAUUGUCUACAUAGAAAUGGCACGUAUCCUAUGGACUGUAAUUGCCUGUGGAUCUUGCCUUAUGGAGAUGUGAUGGAGAACAUGUAUCACUAUAAUCAAUUGACUAGGAUAUGCGAAAUGCCAGCAAGGGAGCUGAACUGCAACUCAUUCAAUACAAAGGCCGAAUGCGAGCAAAAAUGCCAAGUGACAACACGCCAACAGGACCGGAAAAAAAGCAGGCCUAGAAGAAACAGAAGACCUACUAGUGGCUGAAUGAAACCUUAAAUAAAUGAAGUUCGU